rnacentral:rRNA from 1 species
UACGGAGGGGACUAGCGUUGUUCGGAAUUACUGGGCGUAAAGCGCACGUAGGCGGAUUUGUAAGUCAGGGGUGAAAUCCCGGGGCUCAACCUCGGAACUGCCUUUGAUACUGCAAAUCUCGAGUCCGGAAGAGGUGAGUGGAAUUCCUAGUGUAGAGGUGAAAUUCGUAGAUAUUAGGAAAGAACACCAGUGGCGAAGGCGGCUCACUGGCCCGGUACUGACGCUGAGGCGCGAAAGCGUGGGGAGCAAACAGG